UACAGAGGUCUCAAGCGUUGUUCGGAAUCACUGGGCGUAAAGGGUGCGUAAGUGGCGUGGUAAGUCAGAUGUGAAAGCCCGGGGCUCAACCUCGGAAUUGCAUCCGAUACUACCAUGCUAGAGUACUGAAGAGGUGACUAGAAUUCUCGGUGUAGCAGUGAAAUGCGUAGAUAUUGGGAAGAACACCAGUGGCGAAAGCGGACUUCUGGGUUGUUACUGACGCUGAGGUACGAAAGCGUGGGGAGCAAACGGG
rnacentral:rRNA from 1 species